UAGUCCGCACAGUAAACGAUGAAUACUCGCGGUUGGCGAUACACAGUCAGCCGCCCAGCGAAAGCGUUAAGUAUUCCACCUGGGGAGUACGCCGGCAACGGUGAAACUCAAAGGAAUUGACGGGGGCCCGCACAAGCGGAGGAACAUGUGGUUUAAUUCGAUGAUACGCGAGGAACCUUACCCGGGCUUGAACUGCCAGUGACAGAUGCAGAGAUGCAUUAUUCUUCGGACACUGG
rnacentral:rRNA from 1 species